CACAGGUGCUGCAUGGCUGUCGUCAGCUCGUGUCGUGAGAUGUUGGGUUAAGUCCGCAACGAGCGCAACCCUUGUCAUUAGUUGCCAUCAUUUGGUUGGGCACUCUAAUGAGACUGCCGGUGACAAACCGGAGGAAGGUGGGGAUGACGUCAAGUCCUCAUGGCCCUUAUGGGUAGGGCUUCACACGUCAUACAAUGGUCGGUACAGAGGGUUGCCAACCCGCGAGGGGGAGCUAAUCCCAACAAAGCCGAUCGUAGUCCGGAUCGCAGUCUGCAACUCGACUGCGUGAAGUCGGAAUCGCUAGUAAUCGUGGAUCAGCAUGUCACGGUGAAUACGUUCCCGGGUCCUU
rnacentral:rRNA from 1 species